rnacentral:rRNA from 1 species
AUUGAACGCUGGCGGCAUGCUUUACACAUGCAAGUCGAACGGUAACAGGGAGCUUGCUCCGCUGACGAGUGGCGAACGGGUGAGUAAUGCAUCGGAACGUACCCAGUCGUGGGGGAUAACGUAGCGAAAGUUACGCUAAUACCGCAUACGUCCUGAGGGAGAAAGCGGGGACCGUAAGGCCUCGCGCGAUUGGAGCGGCCGAUGUCGGAUUAGCUAGUUGGUAGGGUAAAGGCCUACCAAGGCGACGAUCCGUAGCGGGUCUGAGAGGAUGAUCCGCCACACUGGGACUGAGACACGGCCCAGACUCCUACGGGAGGCAGCAGUGGGGAAUUUUGGACAAUGGGCGAAAGCCUGAUCCAGCCAUGCCGCGUGAGUGAAGAAGG